rnacentral:misc_RNA from 1 species
GCAAACUUGGUCAUUUAGAGGAAGUAAAAGUCGUAACAAGGUUUCCAUAGGUGAACCUGCGGAAGGAUCAUUAUUGAGAAUCUUUGGGUCUUGUUGUUGCUGGCCUUUUAAUUGAGGCAGGUGCACACAUGUUCCCUUUCUCUUCUCAUCCACCUGUGCACUUUUUGUAGGGAGUUCUUUGGGAAAAGCAUACAAGAGCUUUAGGGCUUUUGUACUGCUGACUUGAAGGGCUUUCUAUGUUUUAUACACCAUUAUGUAUGUUAUAGAAGGUCAUUUUAUUGGGGCUUCAUUGACCCUUUAGAACUUUGUACAACUUUCAGCAACGGAUCUCUUGGCUCUCCCAUCGAUGAAGAACGCAGC